rnacentral:rRNA from 1 species
GGGGGGGGGGGGGGGGGGGGGGGGUGGGGGGGGGGGGGGGGGCGGGGGGGCUGUAGCGGUACGGUUGCGGGCGGGCGGCGAACGGGUGGGGGGCGCGUGCGCAACUUGCCCUGAACUGGGGGGUAGCCCGGGGAAACCCGGAUUAAUACCCCGUAAUGUAAUGGAGUGGCAUCCCUUUAUUAUUACAGCUCCGGCGGUUCGGGGUGGGCGUGCGGCUGAUGAGGUAGUUGGUUGAGUUCACGGCUCACCAAGCCUACGAACAGUGACUGGUGUGAGAGCACGACCAGUCACACGGGCACUGAGACACGGGCCCGACUCCGACGGGAGGCAGCAGUAAGGAAUAUUGGGCAAUGGAGGCAACUCUGACCCAGCCAUGCCGCGUGGAGGAUGAAGGCCCUCUGGGUUGUAAACUUCUUUUAUAGGGGACGAAACCUGUGUAUUCUUACGCAGUUGACGGUACCCUAGGAAUAAGCACCGGCUAACUCCGUG